rnacentral:rRNA from 1 species
GAUGAACGCUGGCGGCGUGCUUAACACAUGCAAGUCGAACGAAGCAUUUGCGACAGAUUUUUUCGGAAUGAAGUUGCUUAUGACUGAGUGGCGGACGGGUGAGUAACGCGUGGGUAACCUGCCUUGUACUGGGGGAUAGCAGCUGGAAACGGCUGGUAAUACCGCAUAAGCGCACAAUGUUGCAUGACAUGGUGUGAAAAACUCCGGUGGUAUAAGAUGGACCCGCGUCUGAUUAGCUAGUUGGUGAGAUAACAGCCCACCAAGGCGACGAUCAGUAGCCGACCUGAGAGGGUGACCGGCCACAUUGGGACUGAGACACGGCCCAGACUCCUACGGGAGGCAGCAGUGGGGAAUAUUGCACAAUGGAGGAAACUCUGAUGCAGCGACGCCGCGUGAGUGAAGAAGUAAUUCGUUAUGUAAAGCUCUAUCAGCAGGGAAGACAGUGACGGUACCUGACGAAGAAGCUCCGGCUAAAUACGUG